rnacentral:lncRNA from 1 species
ACCAUUGGGUGCAGUUUUGAUCUUUGUUGAGCAAUGGAGUGGAAUGUGUCCCCACUCUCUUAUCCUCCGCGAUCGGGUCUUUAUGAUUGCGGAGUGGCUCGAAAACUAUGGGGCCUCUCUUUUUAACUAUUACAGACGGUUGGUUCUUCAAAGCUCUGGUAAGGGUGCGAACUACAUUCUUGUCAUAUGCGACUUUGAAGUAGUUAGGUGUGUGAGAUCGCUGGGGCACAGGUUCUUGCAGACCAAUGCUGUCUGUAGACUGCAGUACCUUUUUCCAUAAGCCCUCUAUAAUUCUACUGGAAUAGCCAUACUUAUAUCCUAUCUUGUGUAUGUACUGCCGCUCAUAUUCCUUAUCUGACCAUUUAGUAACGUAGGUGAAGG